rnacentral:rRNA from 1 species
GAUGAACGCUGGCGGCGUGCCUAAUACAUGCAAGUCGAGCGAACAGACUAGGAGCUUGCUCCUCUGACGUUAGCGGCGGACGGUUGAGUAACACGUGAUGAACCUACCUAUAAGACUGGGAUAACUUCGGGAAACCGGAGCUGAUACCGGAUAAUAUAUUGAACCGCAUGGUUCAAUAGUUAAAUACGUUUGUGCUGUCACUUAUGGAUGGAUGCGCGCCGCAUUAGGUAGUUGGUAAGGUAACGGCUUACGAAGGCAACGAUGCGUAGCCGACCUGAGAGGGUGAUCGGCCACACUGGAGCUGAGACACGGUCCCGAGUCCUACGGGAGGAAGCAGUAGGGCCUCCUCCGCAAUGGGCCAAGUCCUGACGGAGCCACGCCGCGUGAGUGAUGAAGGUCUUCGGAUCGUAAAACUCUGUUAUCAGGGAAGAACAAAUGUGUAAGUAACUAUGCACGUCUUGACGGUACCUAAUCAGAAAGCCACGGCUAACUACGUG